rnacentral:rRNA from 1 species
GACGAACGCUGGCGGCGUGCUUAACACAUGCAAGUCGAGCGGUAAGGCCCUUUCGGGGGUACACGAGCGGCGAACGGGUGAGUAACACGUGGGUGACCUGCCCUCAGCUCUGGGAUAAGCCUGGGAAACCGGGUCUAAUACCGGAUAUGACUCCAUGACGCAUGUUGUGGGGUGGAAAGCCUUGUGCGGCUGAGGAUGGGCCCGCGGCCUAUCAGCUUGUUGGUGGGGUGAGGCCUACCAAGGCGACGACGGGUAGCCGGCCUGAGA